UACGUAGGGGGCGAGCGUUGUCCGGAUUUAUUGGGCGUAAAGAGCUCGUAGGCGGUUGGGUAAGUCGGGUGUGAAAACUCAGGGCUCAACUCUGAGACGCCACUCGAUACUGCUCUGACUCGAGUCCGGUAGGGGAGCGUGGAAUUCCCGGUGUAGCGGUGAAAUGCGCAGAUAUCGGGAGGAACACCAGUGGCGAAGGCGGCGCUCUGGGCCGGAACUGACGCUGAGGAGCGAAAGCGUGGGUAGCAAA
rnacentral:rRNA from 1 species